rnacentral:rRNA from 1 species
UACGUAGGGGGCAAGCGUUGUCCGGAUUUAUUGGGCGUAAAGGGUACGCAGGCGGCCUUUUAAGUCAGAUGUGAAAGAUCACGGCUCAACCGUGGUAAGCAUUUGAAACUGGAAGGCUUGAGUUAAGGAGAGGAAAGUGGAAUUCCUAGUGUAGCGGUGAAAUGCGUAGAUAUUAGGAGGAAUACCAGUGGCGAAGGCGACUUUCUGGACUUAUACUGACGCUGAGGUACGAAAGCGUGGGGAGCGAACAGG